rnacentral:rRNA from 1 species
UAGGGAAUCUUCCACAAUGGGCGCAAGCCUGAUGGAGCAACACCGCGUGAGUGAAGAAGGGUUUCGGCUCGUAAAGCUCUGUUGUUAAAGAAGAACACGUAUGAGAGUAACUGUUCAUACGUUGACGGUAUUUAACCAGAAAGUCACGGCUAACUACGUGCCAGCCGCCGCGGUAAUACGUAGGUGGCAAGCGUUAUCCGGAUUUAUUGGGCGUAAAGAGAGUGCAGGCGGUUUUCUAAGUCUGAUGUGAAAGCCUUCGGCUUAACCGGAGAAGUGCAUCGGAAACUGGAUAACUUGAGUUCAGAAGAGGGUAGUGGAACUCCAUGUGUAGCGGUGGAAUGCGUAGAUAUAUGGAAGAACACCAGUGGCGAAGGCGGCUACCUGGUCUGCAAUUGACGCUGAGACUCGAAAGCAUGAGUAGCGAACAGG